UUGACGGGGCCCGCACAAGCGGUGGAGCAUGUGGUUUAAUUCGACGCAACGCGAAGAACCUUACCAGGGCUUGACAUCCCCUGACCGCGUAUGAAAGUACGUUUUCACCCUCGGGUGACAGGGAGACAGGUGGUGCAUGGUUGUCGUCAGCUCGUGUCGUGAGAUGUUGGGUUAAGUCCCGCAACGAGCGCAACCCCUACGUUUAGUUGCUAACGCGUGAAGGCGAGCACUCUAGACGAACUGCCGUUGACAAAACGGAGGAAGGUGGGAUGACGUCAAAUCAUCAUGCCCCUUAUGUUCUGGGCUACACACGUGCUACAAUGGCCGGUACAGACGGACGCAAAGCCGCGAGGUGGAGCAAAUCCUAAAAAGCCGGUCUCAGUUCGGAUUGCAGGCUGCAAUUCGCCUGCAUGAAGUCGGAAUCGCUAGUAAUCGCAGGUCAGCAUACUGCGGUCGAAUACGUUCCCGGGCCUU
rnacentral:rRNA from 1 species